rnacentral:rRNA from 1 species
ACUAACGCUGGCGGCGUGCCUAACACAUGCAAGUCGAACGAUUCUUGAUUUAUAGCAAUAUUUAUUAAAGAGGAGUGGCGAACGGGUGAGUAACACGUAGAUAAUCUGCCUUCAGACGGGGACAACUCAGGGAAACUUGUGCUAAUACCCGAUGAGACCACAAGAAGGGAUUUUUGUGGCCAAAGGCGGGCAGCAAUGCUCGUGCUGAAAGAUGAGUCUGCGUCCUAUCAGCUAGUUGGUGGGGUAAAUGCCUACCAAGGCUAAAGACGGGUAGCCGGCCUGAGAGGGUGAAUGGCCACACUGGGACUGAGACACGGCCCAGACUCCUACGGGAGGCAGCAGUGAGGAAUUUUCCGCAAUGGGCGCAAGCCUGACGGAGCGACGCCGCGUGAGGGAUGAACAGCUUUCGGGUUGUAAACCUCUUUUAUUAAAGGAAAAAGAUCUAUAUGCUAAUAUCAUGUAGAUUUGAUGGUACUUAUUGAAUAAGCCCCGGCUAACUACGUGCCAGCCGCUGC